rnacentral:rRNA from 1 species
GAUGAACGCUGGCGGCGUGCUUAACACAUGCAAGUCGAGCGAAGCACUUAGGAAAGAUUCUUCGGAUGAUUUCCUAUUUGACUGAGCGGCGGACGGGUGAGUAACGCGUGGGUAACCUGCCUCAUACAGGGGGAUAACAGUUAGAAAUGACUGCUAAUACCGCACAAGACCACAGCACCGCCUGGUGCAGGGGUAAAAACUCCGGUGGCAUGAGAUGGACCCGCGUCUGAUUAGUUAGUUGGUGGGGUAACGGCCUACCAAGGCGACGAUCAGUAGCCGACCUGAGAGGGUGACCGGCCACAUUGGGACUGAGACACGGCCCAAACUCCUACGGGAGGCAGCAGUGGAGAAUAUUGCACAAUGGGGGAAACCCUGAUGCAGCGACGCCGCGUGAGCGAAGAAGUAUUUCGGUAUGUAAAGCUCUAUCAGCAGGGAAGAAAAUGACGGUACCUGACUAAGAAGCCCCGGCUAACUACGUGCCAGCAGCCGCAGUAA